AACGAACGCUGGCGGCAUGCCUAACACAUGCAAGUCGAACGAGACCUUCGGGUCUAGUGGCGCACGGGUGCGUAACGCGUGGGAACCUGCCCUUAGGUUCGGAAUAACUCCCCGAAAGGGGUGCUAAUACCGGAUAAUGUCUUCGGACCAAAGAUUUAUCGCCUUUGGAUGGGCCCGCGUUGGAUUAGCUAGUUGGUAGGGUAAAAGCCUACCAAGGCGACGAUCCAUAGCUGGUCUGAGAGGAUGAUCAGCCACACUGGGACUGAGACACGGCCCAGACUCCUACGGGAGGCAGCAGUGGGGAAUAUUGGACUAUGGGCGAAAGCCUGAUCCAGCAAUGCCGCGUGAGUGAUGAAGGCCUUAGGGUUGUAAAGCUCUUUUACCCGGGAUGAUAAUGACAGUACCGGGAGAAUAAGCGCCGGCUAACUCCGUG
rnacentral:rRNA from 1 species